UUAAAGGAAGUUGACGGGGAGCACCACGAACGGGUGGAGCUUGCGGUUUAAUUGGAUUCAACGCCGGAAAUCUUACCGGGACCGACAGCAAUAUGAAGGCCAGGCUGAAGACUUUGCCGGAUUAGCUGAGAGGUGGUGCAUGGCCGUCGUCAGUUCGUACUGUGAAGCAUCCUGUUAAGUCAGGCAACGAGCGAGACCCACGUCCACAGUUGCCAGCAUACCCGUCCGGGGUGAUGGGUACACUGUGGAGACCGCCGCUGCUAAAGCGGAGGAAGGAAUGGGCAACGGUAGGUCAGUAUGCCCCGAAUCUCCCGGGCUACACGCGGGCUACAAUGGUUGGUACAAUGGGCAUCUACCCCGAAAGGGGAAGGAAAUCUCUUAAAGCCAAUCGUAGUUCGGAUUGAGGGCUGCAACUCGCCCUCAUGAAGCUGGAAUCCGUAGUAAUCGCGUUUCAACAGAACGCGGUGAAUACGUCCCUGCUCCUU
rnacentral:rRNA from 1 species